rnacentral:lncRNA from 1 species
UUAUUCUGUCCUAAAUCCCAGACAGUGGUCAGAAGAAAAGCCCAAGACUCCAUAAUGUAAGCUGCUUCUUGCUAGUCAAGGCUUACAGUAAUUCCACUUGGGAGCCUGGUCACAAUCUCCAGACGAUUCUAGGAUCUGCAGACUACCCAUCUCAGCUACUGAGUCACUGCAAGAGAAGUGGUCAAUCAAAAUAUUAUAUUUGCAGGACGGCUCUUUCUCCGAUGUCUGGUGUUCUCUUAGGAAGCAGCAGUCAACUGGGAGGAAGAUGAGAACCCUCCCUCUUUACAAGUAGAUAACAAAGUCUUCUCUCUUGUAUGCAGUUGGCCUAACAGCAUAAAAGGAAGAUAUCUUUGUUUCUGAUUGGAGCACUUACUGUAUCCAUGGAAGGACUAUGAUAUUUUGGAACUAGGUAAACUGAAGAGUGUAAAACAGGCACUCAGAGAAAUCCUGGGAAAUUUCAGAGUGAUAUGAAAUGGGAUUUAUCACUUUGGACUCUUAUUCUGUCAAUUGGCUUUUUUGCCUCAGAGACUGUAUCUACAAGCUUGACAGGCUCAAGGAGUCGCUGUGAGGGCAACUGAGGCUGGGUAUAUCAAAGUGCUUGGAAAACUAUGCCCAGCUAACAAAAAAUGAGAGAGAAGAAAUUGUUAACAGAAGGACCACAGACUUCCCCAAUACCAAUUAUAUUUAGUUUUUAAGGGUCUGGAGAGAAUAUUUCACUGCUUACAUCCUCACAUGGGUUUAAUUAAGAAAGAAAACUUAUAGAAAAAUUAGCCAAGCAUAUCCUAAAUGAUAAUCAGUAGAUUCUGAGAGUA